UGGCUUGUUUCGAUUCCGCAGAAGUUACGGCGGAGAGCGGCGCUGGACCACAACCACCACCACCACAAACUAUAGUCGCAGGAAGCACAAGCAACAGCAACUGCAGCGUUGACGUGGAGGACCUCCCUGAGUUCCAUCUCAGCCCACAAGACUGUCCUCCUCAACCUUCCUCAACACCUCUGCAGUUUCACAUCAACCCUCUUCCUCCUUGUGACAAUCAAUACCAGAUUCACCAGAUGUCUCACGAUCAACUACAACAACAGCACGCUAACUGGGACAACGGUUAUCAAGACUUUGUCAACUUGGGUCCUAACUCUUCAACAACUCCUGACUUGCUUAGUCUCCUACACUUGCCUAGAUGCUCACUCCCUCAGUCUAUGCUCCCCAACUCCUUCUCAGACAUCAUGUCUUCUUCCUCCGCUGCUGCCGUCAUGUACGACCCUCUCUUCCAUCUCAACUUCCCUCUCCAGACUCGAGACCAGAGCCAGCAAAGAAACAGUUCUUGUUUUCUUGGAGUUGAAGAUCAGAUUCAGAUGGAUGCUAACGGAGGAGGAGGAGGAAUCAACAUGAUGUACUACGAAGGAGACAACAACAAUGAUGGGUUUGACAAUGGGGUUAUCGAGUUUAGCAGUGGUGGUAACAACCGUAAAGGGAGAGGAUCAGGGAAGUCCAGAACUUUCCCUACAGAACGUGAGACUGGCGUAGUGGAGGGUAACGUAUGGGCCCAUAUCCCUCAGAGAGGGCAUCGUAUUCGCAUAUAAUGACGAGAGUACCCCUUGAAGUCGUUGCAAAGACCUUUGAUACUCAGGGGUGGGACCAACAAUCUGCUGAUCUUUUGUAACCAACCUACAAUGUUUGGCCAGAAGGAGAAAUCACAUGCUCCAACUAAAACAACCCAAAAGAACACUAUUUACAUAUUUAUUUAUUUUAAAUGUCAACUUUAUUUAGCAGUAAAAAGAAAUGUUAAUUUGUUACAAUUACUAAAGUUUAAACUCGUUUAAAAACUAUGUAAUUAUAAAAGCUCAUCCAUCGAAUCUGGAUUAGAGAUAUAACUAGAUAAAACAUUUUUGUGAUUAAGAGAAAAAAACAAUAAUUUAUUUUUAAAAAUCCAUUAGCAAAAAUAAUCAUUUUUUCACCCUCCUCCUCUUCUUUGUCUCCAUCUGCAAAUGUCCGUAUAUUUGAAACACAGUGAGGGAGAGGAGAGACUUGUUUAUGAAAUUUUCUUUCUUCUCAUGAGAUCGAGAAACUCUCCAGAAGAAGUAAUCGUUUCCAGGUUCAAAAAUCUCGAGCUCCCCAAUUACUCUGUUUGUUGUCGUACUAAUCCUCUGUUUACAGUCAAACUCAAACCCUAAACCCAUUCUUAAAAUUUUGGAAUCGGACAACUUCUUUUAUGAAGCAAUUGUUUCUCCUUAAGACAAUCUAGAACUGGGUUUUGUUUCUAAGAUUGUAAAAAAGCAAACUUGUUUCCAAAUUUCUAAGUUUUUCCAAAUUGUAAAUCUUUUCUUAAAAUCUGAAUGUUGUGUUGUUGAUUUUGCAGGUGUUUAAAAGAAUCAUCUUUGACUCGUUGAACCAUCUUCAUGGAGAAUCUAAAUACUGAUUUUGUUACAAACGCAGAAGAAAGAGAAAACCUUUACGAGGAGGAGAUGGCUUGUUUCGAUUCCGCAGAAGUUACGGCGGAGAGCGGCGCUGGACCACAACCACCACCACCACAAACUAUAGUCGCAGGAAGCACAAGCAACAGCAACUGCAGCGUUGACGUGGAGGACCUCCCUGAGUUCCAUCUCAGCCCACAAGACUGUCCUCCUCAACCUUCCUCAACACCUCUGCAGUUUCACAUCAACCCUCUUCCUCCUUGUGACAAUCAAUACCAGAUUCACCAGAUGUCUCACGAUCAACUACAACAACAGCACGCUAACUGGGACAACGGUUAUCAAGACUUUGUCA
rnacentral:lncRNA from 1 species